UACGUAGGGUGCAAGCGUUGUCCGGAAUUAUUGGGCGUAAAGAGCUCGUAGGCGGUCUGUCGCGUCGGAUGUGAAAAUCCAGGGCUCAACCCUGGACCUGCAUUCGAUACGGGCAGACUAGAGUUCGGUAGGGGAGACUGGAAUUCCUGGUGUAGCGGUGAAAUGCGCAGAUAUCAGGAGGAACACCGGUGGCGAAGGCGGGUCUGUGGGCCGAAACUGACGCUGAGGAGCGAAAGCGUGGGGAG
rnacentral:rRNA from 1 species